rnacentral:tRNA from 1 species
CAGAUUAAUAGUUUAAUAAAAUAUUAGCAUUGGAAGCUAAAGAUUAGGUUAUGGGUGCCUAUAGUUUGA